rnacentral:rRNA from 1 species
GUCUGCAGCCAGCCAACCUCAGACUGUGAUCCAGUAGGAUCUCGCAAGCUGGGCUGGGUCAGUACUUGGAUGCGACGCCUCCAAGGAACACCCAAGUGCUGCAGGAA